CUACACAUGCAAGUCGAACGAAGUAGCAAUACUUAGUGGCAGACGGGUGAGUAACAUGUAGGUAUCUACCCUUUGGCCUGGAAUAACACGAGGAAACUUGUGCUAAUACCGGAUAAGUCUUUACGGAGAAAGCUUUAUGCACCAUUGGAUGAGCCUGCACUUGAUUAGUUUGUUGGUAGGGUAAUGGCCUACCAAGACUGUGAUCAAUAGCUGAUUUGAGAGGAUGAUCAGCCACAUUGGGACUGAGACACGGCCCAAACUCCUACGGGAGGCAGCAGUGGGGAAUCUUGCACAAUGGAGGAAACUCUGAUGCAGCGAUGCCGCGUGAGUGAAGAAGGCCUUUGGGUUGUAAAGCUCUUUCGUCGGGGAAGAAAAUGACUGUACCCGAAUAAGAAGGUCCGGCUAACUUCGUGCCAGCAGCCGCGGUAAUACGAAGGGACCUAGCGUAGUUCGGAAUUACUGGGCUUAAAGAGUUCGUAGGUGGUUGAAAAAGUUGGUGGUGAAAUCCCAGAGCUUAACUCUGGAACUGCCAUCAAAACUU
rnacentral:rRNA from 1 species